GUCCCAGCCCCAAAGAGUGUACCAUCUAAGUAUCCACUGAACAUUGGCAAUAGUAGUGCAAAUUUCCCCAUACUGCCCCACCAAUGUGCCUCAACUCUGCUGGAGACCAGCUCUAGAGGUGAGAGCGUAAUUCAGACUCUAUGGCUAUUUAAACUUGGGCCUCU
rnacentral:sRNA from 1 species